rnacentral:rRNA from 1 species
UCGGGAAUUUUGGGCAAUGGGCGAAAGCCUGACCCAGCAACGCCGCGUGAGGGAUGAAGUAUUUCGGUAUGUAAACCUCGAAAGAAUGGGAAGAAUAAAUGUCGGUACCAUUUAUAAGCUCCGGCUAACUACGUGCCAGCAGCCGCGGUAAUACGUAGGGAGCAAGCGUUGUUCGGAUUUACUGGGCGUAAAGGGCGCGUAGGCGGCGCGGUAAGUCACUUGUGAAAUCUCUGAGCUUAACUCAGAACGGCCAAGUGAUACUGCUGUGCUAGAGUGCGGAAGAGGCAACCGGAAUUCUUGGUGUAGCGGUGAAAUGCGUAGAUAUCAAGAGGAACACCUGAGGCGAAGGCGGGUUGCUGGGCCGACACUGACGCUGAUGCGC